AGUGAACGCUGGCGGCAGGCCUAACACAUGCAAGUCGAACGGCAGCACAAGAGAGCUUGCUCUCUGGGUGGCGAGUGGCGGACGGGUGAGGAAUGCAUCGGAAUCUGCCCAUUUGUGGGGGAUAACCUCGGGAAACCGGGACUAAUACCGCAUACGACCUACGGGUGAAAGCAGGGGAUCUUCGGACCUUGCGCAGAUGGAUGAGCCGAUGCCGGAUUAGCUAGUUGGAGGGGUAAAGGCCCACCAAGGCGACGAUCCGUAGCUGGUCUGAGAGGAUGAUCAGCCACACUGGGACUGAGACACGGCCCAGACUCCUACGGGAGGCAGCAGUGGGGAAUAUUGGACAAUGGGCGCAAGCCUGAUCCAGCCAUGCCGCGUGUGUGAAGAAGGCCUUCGGGUUGUAAAGCACUUUUGUUGGGAAAGAAAAGCAGCCGGUUAAUACCCGGUUGUCAUGACGGUACCCAAAGAAUAAGCACCGGCUAACUCCGUG
rnacentral:rRNA from 1 species